rnacentral:rRNA from 1 species
UACGUAGGGUCCGAGCGUUGUCCGGAAUUACUGGGCGUAAAGAGCUCGUAGGUGGUUUGUCGCGUUGUUCGUGAAAACUCACAGCUCAACUGUGGGCGUGCGGGCGAUACGGGCAGACUGGAGUACUGCAGGGGAGACUGGAAUUCCUGGUGUAGCGGUGGAAUGCGCAGAUAUCAGGAGGAACACCGGUGGCGAAGGCGGGUCUCUGGGGCAGUAACUGACGCUCAGGCACGAAAGCGUGGGGAGCAAACAGG